rnacentral:pre_miRNA from 1 species
AAUAGAUGACGCCGUUGAUUUUUUCUUACAUAUUUAAACAUUCGUCUUAUUUAAAAAGAUUACGUAAUUAUAAUUUAUUUUGUUAUGAGUUAUUUUAACACUCAUGGUACUUUAAGUGUGAUUUAUAUCUCAUACAUUUACAAAAAAAUUUGAAUAAGACGAAUGGUCAAACAUGUGAGAAAAAGUUAACGGUGUCAUCUAUU